rnacentral:rRNA from 1 species
ACAAUGAAGAGUUUGAUCCUGGCUCAGGAUGAACGCUAGCUACAGGCUUAACACAUGCAAGUCGAGGGGCAGCAUGGUCUUAGCUUGCUAAGGCCGAUGGCGACCGGCGCACGGGUGAGUAACACGUAUCCAACCUGCCGUCUACUCUUGGACAGCCUUCUGAAAGGAAGAUUAAUACAAGAUGGCAUCAUGAGUCCGCAUGUUCACAUGAUUAAAGGUAUUCCGGUAGACGAUGGGGAUGCGUUCCAUUAGAUAGUAGGCGGGGUAACGGCCCACCUAGUCUUCGAUGGAUAGGGGUUCUGAGAGGAAGGUCCCCCACAUUGGAACUGAGACACGGUCCAAACUCCUACGGGAGGCAGCAGUGAGGAAUAUUGGUCAAUGGGCGAGAGCCUGAACCAGCCAAGUAGCGUGAAGGAUGACUGCCCUAUGGGUUGUAAACUUCUUUUAUGAAGGAAUAAAGUCGGGUAUGGAUACCCGUUUGCAUGUACUUUAUGAAUAAGGAUCGGCUAACUCCGUGCCAGCAGCCGCGGUAAUACGGAGGAUCCGAGCGUUAUCCGGAUUUAUUGGGUUUAAAGGGAGCGUAGAUGGAUGUUUAAGUCAGUUGUGAAAGUUUGCGGCUCAACCGUAAAAUUGCAGUUGAUACUGGAUAUCUUGAGUGCAGUUGAGGCAGGCGGAAUUCGUGGUGUAGCGGUGAAAUGCUUAGAUAUCACGAAGAACUCCGAUUGCGAAGGCAGCCUGCUAAGCUGCAACUGACAUUGAGGCUCGAAAGUGUGGGUAUCAAACAGGAUUAGAUACCCUGGUAGUCCACACGGUAAACGAUGAAUACUCGCUGUUUGCGA